rnacentral:rRNA from 2 species
GCCCGUCAAAUUAAGUGCCAGCUGACGCGGUUAAACUUAAGGGCUGGUCUUUAUAAGUAAAAAGGCGUAGAGGAUGUGUAGGCCAAGAAAUUAUCUAAGAAGGUAAAUGGAAUUUUUCUGGAGCGGUAAAAUGUGAAGAUAGAAAAUAGAACACCUAAGGUUAAAACUAUUUACCACAAGAUAGGCUGAAACAUGAGAGAGUGGGGAGCAAACAGGAUUAGAGACCCUGGUAGUCCACUCUGUAAACUUUGAAGAUUAUGUUUAGCAGGCCCGAAAGGGAAAAUCUUCCGCCUGAGUAGUACGAUCGCAAGAUUAAAAUUCAAAAACUUUGGCUGUUCACUACUUCGAUUAGAGGAGCGUGUAGUUUAAUUCGAUGGUCCGCGUGUUACCUUACCCCAGCUUGAAUCUAUGACCGGUAUUGCAUGGCCGUCGUAAGUCCCUGUGUUAAACUAAAAGGGACCCAACCCAGGCGUUUGCCUGAAGGAAGUCAGGUCUUAUGGUCCG